rnacentral:lncRNA from 1 species
AUCCAAACGUCUAAUCCAAUCGGUGUCAAAUUGCUGGUGUCCACUAAUAUCUAACAUUCCAAGUUCCAAUGCAAGCCGUUCAAAACGAUAGCAAUUUCCUAGGAGAUUUCUUUUCUGCUAUCCUUCCUCUUCAGAUUUCUCUAGAUCUCCUUCAAUCUGGAUUUCUCAACCCUUUCUCCUCUCUUCCACGCUGAAGGCAAGUGAAGCUUGUAUCCUCCAGGUAUGUUUCAUCUCCCUUUCUUAAAGCUUCUGUUGCAAGUUCAUGAGGUUGACUAUUCUCUGAUCUGUGAAUAAACUGGAAGUUGCUUUCUUGAAAAAAUUAUUUCUUUCUUUGAAUAUCUCGGAUGACUGCCCCUAGCACUAACUUAUCUGUUGCUGUUGAGUUGCAUAUUUUAUAACUAUUUUUAAGUCUCCCAUUAUAAUAACUGAUUGAAAACCCAGUGAGAUCUCUAACUUUACUGCUUGUAAUCCUGCAUAUGCCUCUGCCAUGAAUGGGGACGAUAUUGCGAAAUGGAGUACUAAUUUUAAGGCAAAAAACUCGUCCAUCUCCCUCCGUACCACCAGACCUAAAAUCGAUCUUGAAUAUUUGCUAUCGAAUGCUGCGUCAAAAUAGAUAGUUGCUGUCGUAUUUCUUGUGAUCUAUCUCUAACUUCUGUUAUCAACUAAGGUAGAUGGUUUUUCUUCCAAUCCAUUUAUUUCUGCUAUAUAACCGUAAACUCUUUUUGAUAACUCUCGUUCCUGUUGUUGUUUUCCCCUCAUGGGCAAGUUGGUUUCUGGCACUCCAUAUCAUCCAUGCAGCACAGCAAAAAAGGCGACAUUGUUGACUGUUACCUAUGGUAAAAACCCAAGUAAGCCAGUCCCACAGAUCUGGAAUAGCAUUAUUUGUGACCCAUGAGAGAUUAAUAUUUUGCCAUGUUUCUGUUCUUGUAGGGCACUAUCUAAACACAUGGUUGCUAUGUUCUUUUGCAUUUCGACACCGGGGGCAUGAGCUAUCUGAAGCCACUCUUCUUAGUCUUAAAUUCUUUAGGGUAGGGAUAAAGUUCCAUGAAAGACGCCAAAUAAUGAUGGCAAUUUUUAAUGGGUGGUGUAAAUUCCAUAAUUUCCUAUAGAAAUUUUUUGUUUCAGUCUAUAUUAAAUAAGCACUAGGAUCCUAGUUGCCUCUUGUAAUAGUUUAUAGGCACUUCUAACUGUAAAUUCGUCAGAAUGUUCUCCUCGCCAGACUUGGAAGUCGUCAUGUUCUUUCACAAAAUGAAUUUGCAGAAUCUUUUGUGCAGUAUUUUUUGGAAAGGUAUUUUCAAUUAGAUCAGCUUUCCACUUUCUUGUUGUUGCUUCAAUUAAGUCCGAAACUAACUCAAUUCCUAUAUUGUUGAUGUUGUCAUUACUUCUAUUAAUAUCUACACCUAGAAUCCAAUGAUCAUUCCAAACAGAAAUUCGGUCUCCUUUACUAACUCACCAACAUAAACCAUCUUGCAGUAACCCUUUUGCUGCCCAAACACUUUUCCAGGUAAGAAAAGGUAAAUUCCCUAGCUAUGCAUGGAUGAAAUCUGACUGUGGAUAAUAUUUUACUUUUAAGACCUUUGCUAAUAAUGAAUUUGGCAAAUUAAUAAGGCGCCAACCUUGCUUGGCUAAUAAGGCAAUAUUAAAUUGAUCAAGACUUUGAAAACCUAAACCACCCUCUUCUUUUGCGAUACAUAGAGCUUUCCAAGCACACCAAUGAAUGCCCCUUUUACCAUGACCCUUCUGCCACCAAAAUUUCGCAAUAAUGCUCUCAAGAUCAGCACAUAAAGUCUUGGGAAGUAAAAAAUAGGUCAUUGUAUACGUCGGAAUAGCUUGAAGAAUAACUUUAAUGAAAACUUCUUUCCCACCUUGAUAGAGAUGUUGAAUACUCCAAUUUUCAAUUCUCUGUUUAAAUCUAUCUUUUAAGUUUUGAAAUGCCUUCUUUUUCCUUCUACUGAACAUAUUCGGUAAUCCAAGGUAAUGUUCUGGGUCAUUAGAACUUUGUAUGCCCAGUAUGCGAGUAACUAGUCUCUUUUCUUCCUCUCGGGUAUUAGAGCUAAAGAAAACCUUAGAUUUAUCAAAAUUGACUUUUUGUCCCAAACAAUUUCCAUACUCGCGUAGAAUAUUUUUUAAGAAUCUAGCUCCCCUUUCAGUAGCCUCUCCAAAUAGAAUACAAUCAUCUUCAAAGAGCAAAUGUGAAAUUUGUGGUCCUCUUCUGCUUGCCUUAACCCUUUUUAAAUGCCCUUCAUGAAAUGUCAGCCUCAUUAGGCUAGAUAAGCCUUCUCUGCAAAUCAAAAAUAGAAAUGGACUCAAAGGGUCACCUUGUCGUAACCCUCUUGUAGGUUGAAAUAUAUCCCCAGCAUGGUCAUUAAAUACCACUGAAUAGGAGAUAGUAGAUACACAUUUCAUAAUAGAAUCAAUUCAAUUUGGGUCAAAACCCAUUUUCCUCAGCAUCUCCUAUACAAAACUCCAUUUGACUCUAUCAUAUGCUUUACUCAUAUCCAAUUUAAUUGCCAUCAGUCCCUUUUUUCCUCUCUUUUUUCUCUUUAGGGUAUGUAAAAUUUUGCAAGCCAAUAAUACAUUGUCUGAAAUUAAUCUUCCUGGCACAAAAGCACUUUGUGCAUUAUCAAUGUGUUUCUCUAAGACUUCUCUAAAGCGAUUAGCAAUAGCCUUUUCUAAUAUUUUAUAAAUGACAUUACAUAAGCUAAUGGGACGAAAAUGGGAAAGGUUGGUCGGAUUUACUUUUUUAGGAAUAAGCAUAAUAUGUGUGGUAUUAAUUGGACUAACCUCCAUGCCUCUUUUUAGAUGUUGUAGACAGAAAGUUGAGACCUCGUCUCCAACAAUGUGCCAAUAUUUUUGAAAAAAUAAGGCUGGAAAACCAUCUUCACUGGUGCUUUUGUAGCGCCCAUACUUGUCAGUGUCUCCCUAAUCUCAUCAUUUGUAUAUUACACUGUGAGUCUACAGUUAUCCUCUUCAGUAAUACACCAAUCAACACCUAUUAAGAGAUGUUCAUAAUGGUCUUUUUCACCAGCCUCGAAUAACUUUUGAAAAUAUGUCCUAGCGAUUUCUGCUAUUUCUUGCAUAUCCUCCGUCGCUCUUCUAUUUGUAUUCUGUAACUUUUGAAUGUUGUUUCUCUACCGCCUUUGUGUUGCAAGACUAUGAAAGAAAGCUGUAUUUCUGUCCCUAAGUUUCAGCUAGUUUACUCUUGCUAUAUGUUCCCAGUAUCUUUCAUCCUUGUCAAUUUCAAAGUUCAAUUGCAACUUUGUACCAAUCAGCUCUGCUAAAUUAUUAUCACUCCUCUCAGCCUCCAUCAAUUUAGACAACUUUGAAGUCAAGAUUUCUUUUUUCCGUCUUCUAGAAUGGCAGCUUUGUAUAGCCUAUUUCUCCUGGCCCUUUCUAAGAUACUCCAAUUUUUGUAGAAGAUCUCCUGAUGUUGCUUCCCACAUGAAUUUAACUUCAGCUUCGAAUGUUUCCUCCAAUACCCACCAAGCCUCAAAUUUAAUUUUUUUUCAACUCCUUCUAUUAUCAUCCUCUUUUUUUUGUGGUGAUUAAAAGAGGAUAAAGAUCAGAGGUCAAGUGCACCAAAUGUUGAAUGGUGACUUCAGGAAACAUUGACAUCCAAUUUUCAUUGGCCACGCCUCUGUCUAAACGCUCUUAAAUAUUUGUUUCUGGUAAAUUCCCCCUUUCUCAAGUAAACCAUUUUCCAGAAUAGCCCACAUCCAUCAGUCGACAAUCUUCUAAAGCAUUACGAAAAGCUUCCAUUCUUCUUUCCUCUCUAGGUAGCCCUCCUUUUUUUUCAUACCCAUACAUGAUUUCAUUAAAAUCUCUGCAAAAAAACCAAGGCAAUUCCUUAUUGCUGCACAAACCUCUUAGUAGAUUCCAUGAUUCACCCCUCUCUUAUACAUAAGGGGAACCAUAGAAGCCUGUAAGUCUCUAUUGCUGUCCAUUAUUUUGGUCGUCAAUAAAUACGUCAAUAUGCCUUUUUGAGAUAUUCUAAAGCAUAAUAGAAACAUCACCUUUCUAAGCUAGGCAUAAACCUCUUCUCGAACCAUCGGAAUCCACAUUAAUGCCAUUGAUAAAACCACAACUUCUUCACACUCGUUCCACCUGUACUUUAUUAAUCUUCGUCUCCAUGAAGAAGACCACUUGGGGGAUGUGUAUCUUCAGCGUGUGCCGAAGCCUAUGAAUUGUUAGUGGAUUCCCCAAACCGCGGACAUUCCAACUUAAUAUUUUCAUUGCGGUUAGUCAACUUGCCUUUUGGCAGCUGCCGGUGAAAAAAGAUCAUUGCCCAACAUUCUUCUAUUCCUUGCUGUUGCAAUUUCGCCUUCUUCUCUUGGUGAUAAAUCUUCUCUUUCCCCACUAAGCCUUUUUUUUUCUUCCUCUCUAAUUAUCACCCUUUCCUCCAAAUCAUGUUCUAUUGCAGAAUGAGCCUGGUUGGCCAAUAUAUUUUCCAUCCAUUGGGAGGCAGAGGACAAAUUACCUUCUAAAUUAAUCCCCAAAACAGGAUCAAUGAUUUUUCCUAUCUCCAGCUUAUUCCGUAUUCCAACCAAAUACUCUUCAUUGCCAAAGCUCUCUUGGAUUGUACUCGUAAAGACAAAUCCCAUCCCAUUACCGCCACUGCCACCCCCGACGCCAUCUUUGCCUCACAAAAAGAAUCACUGUGACCCAGCCGACCAAAAUAGAAACAGAAAAGAGUCAGCCUUUCAUAUUUAAAUCUGACGUAUGAACAAUUCUUAAAAAAGAUAAUCUAUUUUUUCCUCUUUAACAUGUGGCGAACAACUAAUUAAACCCGAAUUCGCAUAAAAUUCCUAUUCCCUUUCCCCAGAUUUGAACUAUCAUACUCCAAAAAUUUGCCCAAAAAAUUACCUACAUGCCUUGCUAGACUUUUAGAGAAAAACCCCAUUGGAAUAUAAUGGAUUUGUACCCAAAAAGAAGAAAGAUUAAAAGGACUCGUAAUGGAUCUCCCCCUAUUGUAGCAUAUGUAGAAUCAGUAAGUGGUUAUUGAAUGUCCAUAGAGAACCCUUCAAAACUCUAUCCAUAUCCAUAGCAUGAAAAAAUUGGAAUAGAAAACGUUUCUUUCCUAAGUUUAAGAUUUAAACUCCUCUGACUGGAUGCCACAGGUUUGCCAUGGUGCUUUUCAUUGCCAGAAAGUGGAUAACACUGGCUGUUAAAAAACAUCCCACCAAAAGAAAAGAGUUUCCUUCCUUUUCCAGAUUCGACUCAACUUGUACUUGUAAAAUUGUUUCUUCUUCAUCAAGCGUUAACUCAGCAAAUUCUUUUUCCAUUAUCACAGGUCAGAGAGAAAGCCUCGUUAGGCGUAUUAUUCUGAAAAUUGAAAAGAAAUUAGUAGACUGCCACCUCCAAAAUAGACUAUGAAUAGACGAAAUUAGGGCUAUCUUAAAGAAUAAAAGGAGAUUUGGUAGACAGCCGCCUCUAAAAUUGAUUAUGAACAAAAGAAAUCAGAGCUAUCUUGAAGAAUGACAAGAGAAUGGUUGGAUUGCCGCCGUCAAAUUUAUUAUGAACAAAAGAAAACAAGAAAGCCUAGAACAUGCCAGAGAGGCAGACAAAUUCGUGCUAGGGUAGCAGACCCCCUCAAAUCCAUCAUUUUUUCUUGUAUUAAAUAUUAAAAAUACUAAAAGAAAAAAAAUAAAAAUUCAUGUAAAUAUAUAUUUUUUAAAUGAAUGAUGAAUUUUAAGUCUGAU